rnacentral:rRNA from 1 species
UCAUUAAUACAUGUUGAGCGCACUUUAAUGUGACUCUUUGUAUAACUAUUACCCCCCAACCCAGAGGU